GUGAACGCUGGCGGUAGGCCUAACACAUGCAAGUCGAACGGCAGCACUGUAAGAGCUUGCUCUUACGGGUGGCGAGUGGCGGACGGGUGAGGAAUACAUCGGAAUCUACUUUUUCGUGGGGGAUAACGUAGGGAAACUUACGCUAAUACCGCAUACGACCUACGGGUGAAAGCAGGGGAUCUUCGGACCUUGCGCGAUUGAAUGAGCCGAUGUCGGAUUAGCUAGUUGGCGGGGUAAAGGCCCACCAAGGCGACGAUCCGUAGCUGGUCUGAGAGGAUGAUCAGCCACACUGGAACUGAGACACGGUCCAGACUCCUACGGGAGGCAGCAGUGGGGAAUAUUGGACAAUGGGCGCAAGCCUGAUCCAGCCAUACCGCGUGGGUGAAGAAGGCCUUCGGGUUGUAAAGCCCUUUUGUUGGGAAAGAAAAGCAGCAGGUUAAUACCCCGCUGUUCUGACGGUACCCAAAGAAUAAGCACCGGCUAACUUCGUG
rnacentral:rRNA from 1 species